GCUUAUAAGCACUCCUGGAUUGAUUAAAAUUAGGGGAAAGGACUGUCUCACCCUUGGGCGAAACUUUUAAUUUUCAUUAAAUUUUUCUAAAAUGGGCACUUGCCGCGAUGCGGUGCCAUCGCACCGUGUCACUGGAAACUGAUAACUGGGGACUGGGCUGACGGUACGAUGCGAAGAAAUCGCGGUGCCCCUUUGAUUCUGAUUUUCACCAUUAGCGCGGCGCGCCAUGAUCGCGCUGCCUCACUGGAUUUGGACAAUUAUGAACCGGGCCUACGACGCGACGUGCCACUAUUACAGAACAAUACUGAAAAUUAACAAUUGCUAUACACUGACUCGGCGAUGCGCUAAGGGUCAAAAUGAUGGUGUUUAAUGAUUGAAGCUUAAAAUCGCCA
rnacentral:lncRNA from 1 species